rnacentral:rRNA from 1 species
CCUACGGGUGGCAGCAGUGGGGAAUAUUGCACAAUGGGGGAAACGCUGAUGCAGCGACGCCGCGUGAGCGAAGAAGUAUUUCGGUAUGGAAAGCUCCAUCAGCAGGGAAGAAAAUGACGGUACCUGACUAAGAAGCCCCGGCUAACUACGUUCCAGCAGCCGCGGUAAUACGUAGGGGGCAAGCGUUAUCCGGAUUUACUGGGUGUAAAGGGAGUGUAGACGGCUUGGCAAGCCAGAUGUGAAAGGCUGGGGCUCAACCUCAGGAUUGGAUUUGGAACUGUCAUGCUAGAGUGUCGGUGAGGCAGGUGGAAUGCGUAGUGUAGCGGUGAAAUGCGUAGAUAUUAGGCAGAACACCAGUGGCGAAGGCAGCCUGCUGGACGAUGACUGACGUUGAGGCUCGAAAGCGUGGGGAGCAAACAGGAUUAGAUACCCCUGUAGUC